GACGGUCUCAGUUCGGAUUGAAGGCUGAAAUUCGCCUUCCAUGAAGCCGGAAUUGCUAGUAAUGGCAGGUCAGCAUACUGCCGUGAAUACGUUCCCGGGCCUUGUACACACCGCCCGUCACACCAUGAGAGCCGGUAACACCCGAAGUCAGGAGCCUAACCGCAAGGAGGGCACUGCCGAAGGUGGGAUUGGUGAUUAGGGUGAAGUCGUAACAAGGUAGC
rnacentral:rRNA from 1 species